GAUGAACGCUGGCGGCGUGCCUAAUACAUGCCAGUCGAGCGAACAGACGAGGAGCUUGCUCCUCUGACGUUAGCGGCGGACGGGUGAGUAACACGUGGAUAACCUACCUAUAAGACUGGGAUAACUUCGGGAAACCGGAGCUAAUACCGGAUAAUAUAUUGAACCGCAUGGUUCAAUAGUGAAAGACGGUUUUGCUGUCACUUAUAGAUGGAUCCGCGCCGCAUUAGCUAGUUGGUAAGGUAACGGCUUACCAAGGCAACGAUGCGUAGCCGACCUGAGAGGGUGAUCGGCCACACUGGAACUGAGAUACGGUCCAGACUCCUACGGGAGGCAGCAGUAGGGAAUCUUCCGCAAUGGGCGAAAGCCUGACGGAGCAACGCCGCGUGAGUGAUGAAGGUCUUCGGAUCGUAAAACUCUGUUAUUAGGGAAGAACAAAUGUGUAAGUAACUAUGCACGUCUUGACGGUACCUAAUCAGAAAGCCACGGCUAACUACGUG
rnacentral:rRNA from 1 species